UACGAAGGGGGGCUAGCGUUGCUCGGAAUCACUGGGCGUAAAGCGCACGUAGGCGGAUUGUUAAGUCAGGGGUGAAAUCCUGGAGCUCAACUCCAGAACUGCCUUUGAUACUGGCGAUCUCGAGUCCGGGGAGAGGUGAGUGGAACUGCGAGUGAGAGGUGAAAUCGUAGAUAUCGCAAGAAACACCAGUGGCGAAGGCGGCUCACUGGCCCGAUACUGACGCUGAGGUGCGAA
rnacentral:rRNA from 1 species